UGCAGGUAAAAGCCAACAGUUGCCCCAUUCUGCUGAUGUCUUUGGUGUCUUCGUAGCCCUUACAGAAGGUUUAAUAUCCAGCUUUGAAGUCCAGAGUUUAUCGGGGUCUUUGUGCAAU